UACGGUAGGGCGCAAGCGUUGUCCGGAAUUAUUGGGCGUAAAGAGCUCGUAGGCGGCUUGUCACGUCGGGUGUGAAAGCCCGGGGCUUAACCCCGGGUCUGCAUUCGAUACGGGCAGGCUAGAGUGUGGUAGGGGAGAUCGGAAUUCCUGGUGUAGCGGUGAAAUGCGCAGAUAUCAGGAGGAACACCGGUGGCGAAGGCGGAUCUCUGGGCCAUUACUGACGCUGAGGAGCGAAAGCGUGGGGAGCGAACAGG
rnacentral:rRNA from 1 species